rnacentral:rRNA from 1 species
GAUUCCGCUAGUAGUGGCGAGCGAACGCGGAAGAGGCCAAACCGGAGGUAGCAAUAUUUCCGGGGUUAGGACUGCAAUAUGUAACUUUAAUCUUUAACUGAAUGCUUUGGGAAGAGCAGCGAAACAGGGUGACAGCCCCGUAAGUGAAAGAGAUUGAGUGCUAGCAGUAUCCAGAGUACCAGCGGACACGUGAAACCCGCUGGGAAGAUGGGGGGACCAUCCUCCAAGCCUAAAUACUACUCAGUGACCGAUAGUGGAGCAGUACCGUGAGGGAAAGGUGAAAAGUACCCCGGGAGGGGAGUGAAAGAGAACCUGAAACCUUGUGCCUACAAGCACCGAGAGCACGUUAAAGUGUGAUCGGGUACUUUUUGUAGAACGGUCCGGCGAGUUAAUAUUUGCAGCGAGGUUAAGUAACUGGAGUUACGGAGCCGCAGCGAGAGCGAGUCUGAAUAGGGCGUAUGAAGUUGCAGGUAUUAGACCCGAAACCGGGUGACCUAUCCAUGAGCAGGCUGAAGCGGUGGUAAGACACCGUGGAGGGCCGCACCCACGUCUGUUGAAAAAGCCGGGGAUGACUUGUGGAUAGCGGAGAAAUUCCAAUCGAACUCGGAGAUAGCUGGUUCUCCCCGAAAUAGCUUUAGGGCUAGCGUUAUUUUAGAUUACCGGAGGUAAAGCACUGAAUGGUCUAGGGGCCGCGAGGUUACCAAAGCCUAUCAAACUCUGAAUGCCGGAUAAUUGAUGAAUAGCAGUCAGACUGUGUGAGAUAAGUCUCAUAGUCAAAAGGGAAACAGCCCAGAUCUACAGCUAAGGUCCCAAAUGAACACUAAGUGGAAAAUGAUGUGAAACUGCGAAGACAACCAGGAUGUUGGCUUAGAAGCAGCCACUCAUUCAAAGAGUGCGUAAUAGCUCACUGGUCGAGUGGUUUUGCGCAGAAAAUGUAACGGGGCUAAGUGUUCAACCGAAGCUUAGGCAUUGCAGUAAUGCAUUGGGUAGGGGAGCGUCGUAUGCGGGGCGAAGUCAGAGCGGAAGCACUGGUGGACUGCAUACGAGUGAGAAUGCCGGAAUAAGUAGCGAGAAUUAUGUGAGAAUCAUAAUGGCCGAAAAUCUAAGGUUUCCUGGGGAAGGUUCGUCCGCCCAGGGUUAGUCGGGAGCUAAGCUCAGGCCGAAAGGCGUAGGCGAUGCACAUACGGUAGAAAUUCCGUAACCACCGAACUUUAAGCUAGAGGGACGCUUUCUUCAAGGUUAUCCCGGGCGAUGGUUGCCCCGGGCGUAAGGGACCGAAAUUUAGUAGGGAAGUAACUGGCGAGAGAGACGAGAAAAGCUCUAGUGUAUACUAAGGUGCCCGUACCGCAAACCGACACAGGUAGAUGGGAUGAGUAUUCUAAGGCCAACGGGAGAAGGGUUGUUAAGGAACUCGGCAAAUUGGCCCCGUAACUUCGGGAUAAGGGGCGCCUGCGAGAGCAGGCCGCAGUGAAAAGGCCCAAGCGACUGUUUAGCAAAAACACAGCUCUCUGCUAAAUCGAAAGAUGACGUAUAGGGGGUGACGCCUGCCCGGUGCUGGAAGGUUAAGGGGAGUGCUUAGCGCAAGCGAAGGUGCGAACUUAAGCCCCAGUAAACGGCGGCCGUAACUAUAACGGUCCUAAGGUAGCGAAAUUCCUUGUCAGGUAAGUUCUGACCCGCACGAAUGGCGUAACGAUUUGGGCACUGUCUCAACAGCCCGCCCGGCGAAAUUGUAGUACCGGUGAAGAUGCCGGUUUCCCGCAACUAGACGGAAAGACCCCAUGGAGCUUCACUGUAGCUUGAUAUUGGACUUCGGUAUUCCAUGUACAGGAUAGGUGGGAGGCUAGGAAGCGAGCGCGCCAGCGUUCGUGGAGCCGUCCUUGGGAUACCACUCUUGGGAUAUUGGAGUUCUAACCUGCGACCAUGAAUCUGGUCGGGGGACAUUGUCAGGUGGGCAGUUUGACUGGGGCGGUC